CUCUAUUCAGACUGCCCAGAUCAACUGGGAGGAAGGUGGGGACGACGUCAGGUCAGUAUGGCCCUUACGCCUAGGGCUGCACACGUACUACAAUGCCCAGUACAAUGAGAACCGAUACCGCGAGGUGGAGGAAAUCUGCAAAACUGGGCCCAGUUCGGAUUGGAGGCUGCAACUCGCCUCCAUGAAGUUGGAAUCGCUAGUAAUGCCGUAUCAGCUACGACGGCGUGAAUACGUUCCCGGGUCUU
rnacentral:rRNA from 1 species